GUAGGUAUAGUAUAGUGGUUAGUAUAUCUCAUUGUGGUUGUCGACAACCUCUAAUACGACGCCUGUUUGAUUCAGGCUAUCUGUA